GCAGUGUCGGCCUGAAGUUAAACAGAUACACAGAUAGGAUGGUUGUUAGAAGCAUUGCCAUUGAAGUAGAAUACACCUUAACAAUAUUAUCAGCAUAUUUCAUCAGCCAUGAAACUAAAAGCCCAGUGGACCCAAGAUUAAUAACCACCAUCCAGGUAGUAACACUAUAUCCAUUGAAAAGACGUUGCCACCAUGGACCCUUCUCAAAUCCACCCCUA
rnacentral:misc_RNA from 1 species